rnacentral:rRNA from 1 species
UACGGAAGGCAGCAGUGGGGAAUAUUGCACAAUGGGCGCAAGCCUGAUGCAGCCAUGCCGCGUGUAUGAAAAAGGCCUUCGGGUUGUAAAGUACUUUCAGUCGUGAGGAAGGUGUUAAGGUUAAUAACCUUAGCAAUUGACGUUAGCGACAGAAGAAGCACCGGCUAACUCCGUGCCAGCAGCCGCGGUAAUACGGAGGGUGCGAACGUUAAUCGGAAUUACUGGGCGUAAAGGGCACGCAGGCGGUUAAUUAAGUUGGAUGUGAAAUCCCCGGGCUUAACCUGGGAAUGGCAUUCAAGACUGGUUAGCUAGAGUCUUGUAGAGGGGGUAGAAUUCCAUGUGUAGCGGUGAAAUGCGUAGAGAUGUGGAGGAAUACCGGUGGCGAAGGCGGCCCCUGGACAAAGACUGACGCUCAUGUGCGAAAGCGUGGGGAGCAAACAGGGAUUAGAUACC